UGUGACGAGCAUUGUAAACAGAAGUGAAUGUUUAGCUAGCCUGGAAAGGGAAUGCCGUCUCAACAGCUUUUGAAUUGAAGCAUCAGGAUGUUGUGUGAAGUCCUGCUGUCAUCAUUAUGGUUCCUGUUCGUUAUCUUCUGGGUCGAGACAAUAAGUAUUUGGCUGUUUCUGUCCAUGUUCUACCAGGACCGAGCGUUUUACCACUGGGGAGAUGGAGUAUUUGCAGAUGAUCCUGGACAGAUGAUAUACAUGUUGAGCAGAGUGGAUACCCGUAUGCAGACAGAGAUGCAGACCUGAGAUGGGAAAAGAUCAAGAACGCCACUGAAAGGACUCUCAGUCGAGGGCUGCUGCAGUUAUGUGACUGAAGAACGUAUGAUGAAAAGCAGUAGCUGUUUUUCUUUUGCACUGACUGCCUCACACACUGUUGUGCACAGUCCUUGUUAACAUAGGUAAAUGUAGGCCACUAAGAGGUGGUGGAGAGUCGCAGCAUGGGUGAAGCUGUAACAGAGAUGUAGAGGGAGGUCCUCAAUGAUUCAUUUGUGUCACACCCACGAAUAUAACAUUUAUAGCUUCACUUAAAGAUUUUGGGGAAGCAGAAUGAAUGUAGCAGAAAGCCAGCUUGGUUCAUGAAAUGGGGUGUAUCAUUAUUUUAUUUCUUUGAACUCCAUUUUCGAAGCUUGCACUGAGAUGGUGUUUUGGUCAUGCUGCAGUUCUAUGCGACCACAGUUGUUGCUGUCAGCAGCGAUAUUUGUGUUUUAAAUAUAUUGCAGUUCUAACUAAAACGUAUGAAUGUCAUUAACAUUGUUUUUAUUUUUUGAUGUAUGUUUGAUGCCACAACUGUUAACAAGGAGCUAAUUUUGAAUCUUGGAGGUGGUGUAUCCAUGUACUUGGGUUCAGAUAUAACUGAACACAAUAGAUAACCUGCAACUUCCACCUGACCUGGCUGUGUUGCAUUCCUGCUGCAAGGCAGCAACGGGACCCGAUCACAGCCAUUCCAGACAAUGCUUGUGAUUCCACUAGAAGCGGCUCUACGCUCUACUCCAUGGAGAAUACACACUUCUCUAUUUUUGACAGAAGCUUCGUCAAGCUGCACAGAGCAGAUCAAGUCAAACAGGAAGUCAGACACAGGAACAGUAUAGAGAAUCUGCUCCGUUUUCAAAAUACAACACCUUGUCCAGACUCCUAAUUGUUUAUCAACGGACACCAUUCAAUUAUCUAGACGACUUAUGACUUGAAAUCUGAGCAAAUCAGGCAGGCAAAACACUGAAAAAGUGUUUCCACUGAGGUGAAAUGAAAUCUCUGGGGAAGAGCUUAUCAUUUGAUCAUGGAGUUUAUAUUUUUCACACUAACAACCGUCACCUUCAGUAGAGAAACUGGCUACAGGCACAUUAUUUGAGCUUGAAGGUUCAUUAUUAAGGUUAAUUACUAUUUGCUUCAUGAGAAAUUUCCAGAGUUUUCAGCCACAUCUUGUGGGCUUUACCAGCACAUGUAAUUGCUCAGUUGUCAUGUAUCAUCAGACACUAUUGUUUCCCCUCUGUUAAUUAAAGGGUUUACUUUUAGACAAAAGCCGCACAUGGUGUUGGUCUCUUUUUACAACUGAGACAAAGAAUGUCAGUGAUGUUUUGUCUGAAAAUGCUGAA